rnacentral:rRNA from 1 species
UACGAAGGGGGCUAGCGUUGCUCGGAUUGACUGGGCGUAAAGGGCGCUUAGGCGGUUCGUACAGUCAGACGUGAAAUUCCUGGGCUCAACCUGGGGGCUGCGUUUGAUACGUGCGGACUUGAGUGCGGAAGAGGGUCGUGGAAUUCCCAGUGUAGAGGUGAAAUUCGUAGAUAUUGGGAAGAACACCGGUGGCGAAGGCGGCGACCUGGUCCGAUACUGACGCUGAGGCGCGAAAGCGUGGGGAGCAAACAGG